ACAGCGUAAGCCGAAAAGCUACAAAACAGAGUAGGCU
rnacentral:ncRNA from 1 species